GUAGUUCAUUCUUUCCAUGCACAUGUGAAAACAACUUAAAAGAAUUCCACAUAACAACUCUGAAUUUUUUCUUCUUUUUCUUUCUUUCUCUUUCUUUCCUUCCUUCCUUUCUUUCUUUCUUUCUUUCUUUCUUUCUUUCUUUCUUUCUUUCUUUCUUUCUUUCUUUCUUUCUUUCUUUCUUUCUUUCUUUCUUUCUUUCUUUCUUUCUUCUUUCUUCCUUCCUUUCUUUCUUUCUUCCUUCCUUCCUUCCUUCCUUUCUUUCUUUCUUUCUUUCUUUCUUUCUUUCUUUCUUUCUUUCUUUCUUUCUUUCUUUCUUUCUUUCUUUCUUUCUUUCUUUCUUUCUUUCUUUCUUUUUCCUUUCUCUUUCCUUUCUUUCUUUCUUUCUUUUUCCUUUCUCUUUCCUUUCUUUCUUUCUUUCUUUCUUUCUUUCUUUCUCUCUUUCUCUCUUUCUUUCUCUAUCAAAUUCUUUCUCUCUCUCGCUUUUCCUCCCUCCCUCUCUCCCUCUCUUCCGUUUCCUUCCUUCCUUCCUUCCUUCCGUACAUACAUAAGUCGAGCCUAGAUAGGUUCCUUACUUCCUACAAAGAUGAAGUGAAUCUAUAAAGAGGAUGAAGCUUG
rnacentral:lncRNA from 1 species